GACGUAGGGGGCGAGCGUUACCCCGGAUUCACUGGGCGUAAAGGGCGCGUAGGCGGCUGCGUAAGUCCGGCGUGAAAUACCGCGGCUCAACUGCGGAACUGCGUCGGAUACUGCGCUGGCUAGAGGAUGGUAGAGGCUAGUGGAACUAGCGGUGUAGCGGUGAAAUGCGCAGAUAUCGCUAGGAACGCCGGUGGCGAAGGCGACUGGCUGGGCCACUCCUGACGCUGAGGCGCGAAAGCUAGGGGAGCGAACGGGAUUAGAAACCCCGGUAGU
rnacentral:rRNA from 1 species